ensembl:lncRNA
AGAAGGGGUGGAGCCUGGCUGCACCUCUGUUAGACGCCAUUGAAGAUCUGACUGCCACUGUGGAAGGGUCUCUGGUUGGAGAUCUCUUCCUUGUGGAGUUUUCCCUGUGAGCCUAGAUCUUUAGAGAUGGAAGCCUGCUGUUUUCCCCAGCGUCAUGAGAAGCUUUCCUCCAACAUUCUCGUAGUUAAUGAAAUCAAAGUGAUGCCACUUCCAUUAAGCAAGCAGCAACCCACAGAAGGGAAAUGAGCUGCCAGCUGCAUCCCUGCUGGGCUGUGUCCCAUGCCCUGCUCCUGGCAUACACCUUAGCAGACACCUAGGCUUGAAAAGUCAGCGGAAAAACUUGAUGGAGCAAGAGCGAGACCAUCUGUGCCAUAGCUGUGGCUCAGCCCUUCAGAAAGAAAAGGGAAGAAAUGAAAAAUUCAGAACCAAAUGCCAAGAUGAUCUCCAAAUCCUGGACUGCAUCACGCUGAGGUCUAUUUGCCCUUCACUGGGGACUGCAUCUGAUGAGGAGCUCCUACAUGCAGCACUCAGUGCAUGGCAGGGCCGUGGAGAGCCCUGUGCCGCACAGCAGAAGUGGGAAUCAGGUAGCAGGCAGCAUCCCACUUCAGCACACAACACGGCACUCGUGGCCCAUACUGCAGGCUACGUCCCACUAUAUCACGGAAGGGAUCUUUUAAUUGAAAGCCUUAAUGUUUCUCGUUAUAUUUAAAAUUAGAGCGGAACGGCAAUAAAAUUGGUCAUGGAAUGGAGACAAGUUUUAAGGGAGAGAAGGAAAUGUAUUUUUCAUUUCUACAUCAGAGCACCCUUUAGAAGCCUAUGCACACUUGAAUACGUCAAUGCAAGGAUUAAUAAUUAAAGGAACAACAUCUCUGUGAUGCACACAGGGAAGCAGAGAUCCAGGCUGGAGGCUCUGGGGACGCGCUGUUAGUGCUGGCAUUUCACCUCCGCCUGGUGCUCCUCUUUAUAUAGAAAAGUGCAUCCCCGCAUCCUCUCCCAAGGAACGUACUGCCAAGAAAUGUGCAGUCAGUGGUUAACCUCGGCAUUCCUGUGGGGAAUUAUAUCCCUGCUUGUUAUCAGGUUGACUGUGGAGGUGCUCACAAGCGGUUCGGACAGACAGUUUUGGGGUGAAAUCCUCACGGAGCGGCGCAGCUGAGCAGACAGCCUGAGUCCGGCGUGACUCGGAGCUGCGGUACCCAAGGCCCGUGGGAAGCAGGCUCUGGAGCCGCUUUCUCUCUCCUCCCAGGAGCCAGAUGGAUGUCAACAGGCUACUGCGAUGAGACGGAGCCUCGCCGUUCCCCAGCAUGGCCCAGGGCCAACAGAGCCCGAGCGCGGCUCUGCAGAGCUGUCCUGCGGCACCAUCCUGCACGCGGGCACGAGCAGCUCCCGGUGCUGGUGCUGCAAAGCCUUGCCUUGCUCUGGAGCUUGGCUCCAUCUCCGCCUUCGACGCAAUUUCCCUGACCAGGCCCCAGAUGGGCUCUUCUCCCUCCCCAUUUUGCCUUCCUCCAUGUUGGUAGUCUCCUCGUUCGUUUAAAAACCUGCUAUUUAUCUCAGCAGCUUGGAACUGGGUUGCGGCGUGGAAUUAAAACCAGCUUUUCCUUUUGGCAUCCACCGCUUUGUGUAAUUAAUAGGGGAAGAGAAAGCCAGAACAUGCAGGUCGGCCCUGAGUUUGAGGAGGAGAUGGAUUGGACACAGCCAGCACCAGCCACGAUGCUCUGAGCUGGCUGCAGGAGGAGUGGGUUGCAUUUUGGGGCCGAACUGGGGGGAAAAAAAAAAGAAAAAGAGGAGAUGAAGUUCUUUCUUUCCUGGUUGCUCCCCUUUGGUUAUUCCCAUCUGAACUCAAAAUUUGGUCCAAGCUGCGCUCCGCGCUUUGCAGUCAAUCUUCUGCACCUCUUUGACG